rnacentral:rRNA from 1 species
GACGAACGCUGGCGGCGUGCUUAACACAUGCAAGUCGAACGGAAAGACCCUGCUUUUGUGGGGUGCUAGAGUGGCGAACGGGUGAGUAACACGUGAGUAACCUGCCCUUGACUUUGGGAUAACUUCAGGAAACUGGGGCUAAUACCGGAUAGGAGCUCCUGCUGCAUGGUGGGGGUUGGAAAGUUUCGGCGGUUGGGGAUGGACUCGCGGCUUAUCAGCUUGUUGGUGGGGUAGUGGCUUACCAAGGCUUUGACGGGUAGCCGGCCUGAGAGGGUGACCGGCCACAUUGGGACUGAGAUACGGCCCAGACUCCUACGGGAGGCAGCAGUGGGGAAUAUUGCACAAUGGGCGGAAGCCUGAUGCAGCAACGCCGCGUGCGGGAUGACGGCCUUCGGGUUGUAAACCGCUUUCGCCUGUGACGAAGCGUGAGUGACGGUAAUGGGUAAAGAAGCACCGGCUAACUACGUG